UUUUUGUCAUAAUUUUUGUCAUAGAUGUAUAUUUUUUCCAAACUUUUGACUUUAGAAUUUUCUAUUUAUCACUAUUUUAAGGUUUUACGUAAAAUGUAUUUAUUCAUAUACCGGUGAAUUAAAGCAGCCGAAGCAAAGCUCUUAAAGCAAAGCUUCGUUUCUGCUUGUCCACAAUGUAUCCGUAUUAUGAACUAUCUGGUAUGACGUAUCACAGCGCGAAUAGGCAGACGUAUUGCGACGUCACGUAUUACGCAGAUAGACACGUACGAGUAUAUUACACACGAGAAUCUGACAUCACGCGCAUACCGUGGCAUUUGAUAGAUAAGAUCAUUACACUAUCCGAAGCGAAUGAUAGCAACGCUAUGCAAUUUGCAUUGCAUCAUCUCUUAAUCAUUGCACGAACGAAAUCAACACAUCCGGUGUAUUGACUGUUUCUACCGCUUCAUCUUAUAGACCGUCGCGGCGCAUAUUUUGAAGCAAGUUAUUUUUAACAAAUCGAUUAAUUUUGAAAAAAUUUAUGAUUUGCUAUAUUAAGAAUGGAAUUAAAAAAGAAUAUGUUUUGAAGAUGCAAACACAUAUCUUUGUAACAUAAAGACAAAGUCAAAGUAAGUUUUUUUCACGGAACAUUUAAUAGUAUAGCAAACAAAUCUUGAAUGGUUAAUUAUACUUUAUUUAUACCAAGCUCAAUUUUUGUACUAAUUUUAGACUUUGAAAAAUAAUUUGUUACAUUUACAUGUGAACUAUUGAACCAUUGAUAGAUCUAUUGGCAAAUCUCAUUUGCAGAUAUUUUUAAAACUCUUCACUUGUUCUGUACAAGAUCAAAGGAUCAAGGUUCUUAGCAAAUUUCGCUUUAGUGCGCAUUUUGUUCUCAUCUUUUUACAAAGUGUUCUAGUUUCACCUAUCGGUUAUCAGCUAUUGAAAUGUUAACCGGAACCGCUGUCAGUUGUCUGAAGAUGUUGGAUAAGUAAGUGAAGUUAAAUAAAGGAAACGGCAGAUAGAAGAACCACGAACCAUUUAUUAUGCGACCGGUUCUUUAAGAAAGAACCUCUAACCGAAAUCCAUAAAAAGAGUUUAAUUUUACGUUUGCAAUUUUACAAAUUUGCACAUCAUGUAUUGCACAUAGUUAUAAUUGAAACACGCUUGUCGGAAGCGGAUGUAUAAAAUAUACAUAAAAAGUAGAUAAGAAGGGAAAAAGAGAAAAAAA